GCUAUCAUGGUCACUAAAAACCAACCGUCAAUUUCCUAUUGCAUCCGCUAUCAUGGUCGAAACAAACGUAGAAGGAGGAAACGCGCAGUAAUAAGGUAAAACAGAAAUUGGGCAAAGCUAAAACAAAGCAAUAACAUAAAACAGAAAUUGGGAAAAGCGUGUACCUUUGAUUGGUAGAAGGAGGAAACGCGCAGUAAUAAUGUAGAUCUAACAGAGGUGGAAGGAAAACGCCUUAGAACCCUAACGUGAAAAAGAACGAAAAUAACAGAUAG
rnacentral:lncRNA from 1 species